rnacentral:misc_RNA from 1 species
AGCAGCCGCGGUAAUUCCAGCUCCAAUAGCGUAUAUUAAAGUUGUUGCAGUUAAAAGCUCGUAGUUGAAUUUCGGGAUUGACGUGAUGGUCGUGCCUUACGGGGUAUGAACUGUUGCUGUUGAUUUCUCACCUUCUGGAGAAACUUGAUGUCCUUAAUUGGGUGUCUUGCGGAUCCAGGACCUUUACCUUGAAAAAUUAGAGUGUUUAAAGCAGGCAUUUUUGCUCGAAUACAUUAGCAUGGAAUAAUAGAAUAGGACGGCAUGGUUCUAUUUUGUUGGUUUCUAGGAUCACCGUAAUGAUUAAUAGGGAUAGUUGGGGGCAUUAGUAUUCAAUUGCCAGAGGUGAAAUUCUUGGAUUUAUUGAAGACUAACUACUGCGAAAGCAUUUGCCAAGGGUGUUUUCAUUAAUCAAGAACGAGAGUUAGGGGAUCGAAGACGAUCAGAUACCGUCGUAGUCUUAACCAUAAACUAUGCCGACUAGGAAUCAGACGAUGUUAAUUUUUUAAUGUACUUCGUUU